rnacentral:rRNA from 1 species
CCUACGGGCGGCAGCAGUGGGGAAUAUUGGGCAAUGGGCGCAAGCCUGACCCAGCAACGCCGCGUGAAGGAAGAAGGCUUUCGGGUUGUAAACUUCUUUUGACAGGGAAGAGGAGAAGACGGUACCUGUCGAAUAAGCCACGGCUAACUACGUGCCAGCAGCCGCGGUAAUACGUAGGUGGCAAGCGUUGUCCGGAUUUACUGGGUGUAAAGGGCGUGUAGCCGGGUUGACAAGUCAGAAGUGAAAACCCAAGGCUCAACCAUGGGACUGCUUUUGAAACUGUCAAACUAGAGUACGGGAGAGGUAAGAGGAAUGCCUAGUGUAGCGGUGAAAUGCGUAGAUAUUAGGAGGAACACCAGUGGCGAAGGCGUCUUACUGGACCGAAACUGACGUUGAGGCGCGAAAGCGUGGGGAGCAAACAGGAUUAGAUACCCUAGUAGUC